rnacentral:rRNA from 1 species
AAAGAAACUAACAAGGAUUCCCUUAGUAACUGCGAGUGAAGAGGGAAGAGCUCAAAUUUAAAAUCUGGCAGUGUUUUGCUGUCCGAGUUGUAAUCUAGAGAAGUGCUGCCCGUGCUGGACCAUGUACAAGUCUCCUGGAAUGGAGCGUCACAGAGGGUGAGAAUCCCGUCUUUGACAUGGACUACCAGUGCAUUUGUGGUGUGCUCUCAAAGAGUCGAGUUGUUUGGGAAUGCAGCUCUAAAUGGGUGGUAAACUCCAUCUAAAGCUAAAUAUUGGCGAGAGACCGAUAGCGAACAAGUACCGUGAGGGAAAGAUGAAAAGAACUUUGGAAAGAGAGUUAAACAGUAUGUGAAAUUGUUGAAAGGGAAACGCUUAAAGUCAGUCGUGUCGGCCAGGGAUCAACUCAGCUUUCUCUGCUGGGUGUACUUCCUGAUCUGAUGGGCCAACAUCAGUUUUGACUGCUGGAGAAGGGCAGAGGGAAUGUGGCACCUUCGGGUGUGUUAUAGCUCUCUGUCAGAUGCAGUGGUUGGGACUGAGGAAAGCAGCAUGCCGCAAGGCCGGGUCGUUCGACCACGUUCAUGCUGAGGAUGUUGGCAUAAUGGCUUUAAUCGACCCGUCUUGA